rnacentral:lncRNA from 1 species
GAAUUAACUAUAACAAAAAUUCAUCAAAAAUUUAACAAUAUGUUUAUCAGAUUCUUUUUUGCUGAAUCUUCGUUCUGAACACUAAUUCUGAUGAAUUAUCGGAAAUCCACUAAAAAUAUUUUUCAAAAAAAAAAAUCAUCAAAAAUAUGUCAUUUUGUCGAAUUAUCAAUGAUUUAGUCCUGGAAGUGAGUUAACGUGUAAUGGUUAAUCCUAAUUGUGGUGAUUCUUUUUUUUUUUUUUGAGUGAUUCUUGUUUAUAGAAUUUGUUAUAUACUCCAUCGGUUUUAAAAAGAUAUAUUUAGAAAAAAAAUUGUUUCACAAAGAUAUAUAUUUUAUGUUUUUUAUGAAAAAAUAUAAACUUCAAAAAAAUUAAUUGAUUUUAUUGAAUUACUAUUGGUUAAAAGAUAUUGAAAAUUAAAAAUUACAGAAAAUGAUACAUUUAUUAUAUUAAUUUAAUUUGUUUUUUAAAUAUAUGUGAAAACGUUAAAAAAUCUAUUUUUAUGAAACGGAAAGAAUAUACAGCAUGUCAAAUUUAUGAAAACCGAAUAGAGCAAAUUAGCUCAA